rnacentral:rRNA from 1 species
UACAGAGGCCUCGAGCGUUUGUUCGGAAUUACUGGGCGUAAAGGGAGUGUAGGCGGUAACGUAAGUCAGAUGUGAAAGCCCUGGGCUUAACCCGGGAAGUGCAUUUGAUACUGCGUUGCUGGAGUGCGAGAGAGGAAAGUGGAAUUUCCAGUGUAGGGGUGAAAUCCGUAGAUAUUGGAAGGAAUACCGAUGGCGUAGGCACUUUCUGGCUCGUAACUGACGCUGAGACUCGAAAGCGUGGGU